rnacentral:misc_RNA from 1 species
AUACGAAUUGAUACGAAUACGAGUACGAGUACCGUCAGGUUGGUCAAUUCAGUAUUCAGAAUCGUAGAAUUUUGAAUUUUCCGUACGUGUACGAGAGUCGUGAGUGAAUCGUAUCGUAUCGUGGUAUCUGGUGGUAUCGUAUCCGGUCCGGUUAGCUAAGAAUGUGUCAAACAGGGAAGUUUUUAAAUUGUUGUUAAUUUAGAAGUUAAUUUUUUUAUUAAGUUUUACCUAAGUGCGAAAUUUUCAAAAAUGGGCCAACACGUAUCUAGAACAGAUUUCGAAUGGGUAUAUACCGAGGAACCUCACGCUAGCCGCAGGAAGCAAAUCUUAGAAAAAUAUCCCCAAAUCAAGAAACUCUUUGGAUACGAUCCGAACUUCAAAUGGGUCGUAACGAGCAUGGUACUUACACAAUUCGUACUGCUGUACUUACUCAAAGAUAGGUCAUGGCCAGUGCUAAUUUUAGUAGCGUAUUGCUUAGGAGGUGUCAUCAAUCACUCGUUAAUGUUGGCUAUACAUGAAAUUUCCCACAAUUUGGCGUUUGGACACGCACGGCCGUUGCACAACAAAUUAUUUGGAUUUUUUGCCAAUUUGCCAAUAGGAUUACCGAUUACUAUAAGCUUUAAGAAAUACCACUUGGAACACCACAGAUAUCAAGGUGACGAACAGAAAGAUACGGACAUCCCAACGUACAUAGAGGCCAAACUAUUUUGCACGACCUUUGGAAAAUUCAUUUGGGUGAUACUGCAACCGUUUUUCUACUCUUUCCGCCCACUCGUAGUUUAUCCGAAGCCGCCCACGCUUUUGGAAUUCGUAAACCUGGUAAUUCAACUCGCCUUCGAUGCUCUCGUUGUUUAUUUUUUCGGAGGAAGAAUGUUGGGAUAUCUCCUUAUUGGAUCUGUCAUGGCUAUGGGUCUUCAUCCGGUAGCGGGACACUUCAUCAGUGAACAUUACAUGUUCAAAAAGGGCUACGAAACGUACAGUUACUAUGGUCCCUUGAACUGGAUAACAUUUAACGUGGGGUACCAUAACGAACAUCACGAUUUUCCUGCUGUUCCUGGUUCAAGAUUACCAGAGGUAAAGAGGAUAGCACCGGAAUUCUACGACAACCUACCGCAGCACCACAGCUGGAGUGCAGUGUUAUACGACUUCGUGAUGGAUCCAGAUGUAGGACCUUACGCCAGAAUCAGGCGAAAAGCCAAAGGCCUAUCAACGUAAUUCCCAUCGACAAAACACCAAAUUACCUAUAAUUUUAUUGCUCGCGUCUCAUUAUGAUUGUCUGUGACAAAAUGAGACGAGGACAGUAAAAUCUUUUGCUUAUGUGUGGUUAAAAGUAGCCUUUAGUUGACUGUACAUAACCAGUGACUUAUGUCCUUUUUAAAUAUAGUUUAUUUAUAAUAUAAUACUUAUUUAAAAAUGUUAUUCUUUCUCCAACAUUGUGAUAUAUGUACAGUGCCUGUAAUUCGUGUGUAAAGAUUAUAAUUAUUUCUAAAAAAAAGUCGUUGAAAAAUAACAUCAAAAUUCUUUUUGUUUAUUUUCCUAUUGCCUCUUGCUCUGCCGUACACAUAUACAUAUAAUACCUAGAUUGCGCACUGCAAUCUAAAACUGUUUCCCCAGUGCGACAGAGAAGUGUUUGUAUUUAGGGUAGGCAUUUCUUUCUAAUCGACGUGUUUUAUCCAAUGGCAUGGAUAUAUCGACCAAGUGACUAAAUUUGAUAAACCCUCUUAGAAAGAGAAGACCCCAAAUACAAACAUUUUUCUCUGACGCAUGUAACGGGUAGUUCUUUCAAGAAAACAGACUCAGUAAAACACAGGUUAGAAUAAAAUAAAUAUAUUCAGGAUAUUUAUUGUACAGUUCAAAUUUAAGAAGAAUAAGAAAAAUCCUUUAUAAAAGGUAUACAAUUUUUUUAUUAAAAAUCCCUUUAAGGGCUACAUCACAACAAAACGUUUUCGAUUUUAUAAAAAAUCAUCAUCAGUGACAGAUUGAAUGCCAGCUGAGCCACCAAAGAAAUAUUCGGGUAAAAACACUUUAAAUAUAGUAUGGAUGCAUUAAAGGUGCAUACUUAAAUAAAAUGCCUUAGGAUGGAUACAUGGCAACAAGGAUAAUGCCCAUCUUGCUACGCUAAACUCAGCUUUGGAAAGAUAGUCGAAGUUAGUUAUGCAGUUUGAAAGAAAGUAUAGAAUAGAGAAGAAGGAAGGAAGAAGAAAAGAAUAGAGCACCGGCUAAGUAAGCUCGAAAAACAAGAGACUAAAAAGAAGGUGGGAUUCGAGAGCCAGAAAAAGGAAUAAAAUUAAAACAGAUUUCUUUCUGAAAUAAUUUGGGCGUGAAAGAAGGAGAGCUGGAAGAAUAACAGACAGAGAUCCUGAACAAACUAAAAUGGAGGGCGCGAGUCUUGCUCUUGGUUUAAAGUAGAGUUGCCAUUAAGUCAUUGGAAUGUAAACAACUCGAUUUGCAUCCCACGUGUUGGGAAAUUCAAUACCUUACCUAAGGGCAUUAUCCUUGUUGCCAUGUAUCCAUCCUAAGGCAUUUUAUUUAAGUAUGCACCUUUAAUGCAUCCAUAUUAUAUUUAAAGGGUUUUUACCCGAAUAUUUCUUUGGUGGCUCAGCUGGCAUCCAAUCUGUCUAACACUGAUGAUGAUUUUUUAUAAAAUCGUAAUCGUUUUGUUGUGAUGUAUGUAGCCCUUAAAGGGAUUUUUAAUAAAAAAUUUUAUACCUUUUACAAAAGAUUUUUUCCAAUUUUUGUGAUUGAUGGUAUACAGCCAACUACAGGAAAAAUUUUUCUUUUCCUUGUGGAUUUUUUUAAAAUAAUAAAAUAAAUCAUUCUAUCUUCGCCCCGUUCCGGAGCAAGCUACCUAUGCGGCUGUCUGCAAAAGAAAUAAAAUUUUAUUUAUAACUAUUAUCAAAAUUAUAAUAACACAGUACAUAUAUACAAUCGCAAUCUCGCUAUACGGAAUUAAUAUAAUUACACACUCAAACUCGUAGUCCCCAAUCAAACAUCGACCCAUCAGCCAGCUCUGGGCGGAAGUGGCGGCUACCGCUCGCUGCGGUUACGGUUCCGGCGGAACACCUCCUCACUACAGAGCGCAUGCACCUCGGCAGGUUCCAAUUCAUUCCAUUGCAUCUCUGCCGUUCGAGUUCUUCCGGGUUCACUACACCGAGAGGAACUGCUUUUAUGAUUUUCCUUUCUCGUCUUAAGUACACUCUCGGUAGCCAUCACUCCUUUGGUUUCGCCGGAGAGGUGGUAAAGUUUGUUUAGCAGUAAAUGGUUGACUUAAAAUAGUACCGGCUUAAACAUCCUGGGUUAACCGAUAAUAGUAUAAAAGGCCCGGUUUCAGGUAAAAUUUAAAUAUGUUUGAAUGUUUUUUUUCUAUAACCUUAGCAAUUAAAAUAUAUUUAAUUUAUUUUAAAACUCAUUUGAAAACAUUAAUUUCGGGUAUAUAAGGCAAAGCAUAUUUUACAUCCAUUUUUCUUUUGUUUUUGUCGUCAAAAUUAUUGUAAAUUUUGUGGAUCCUUUGUUUUAUUAUAGGAGUACCGUUUAAUUAGUGUUAAUUGUCAAAAGACCAACUCUGUCUACCUCGUUUGCUUAUCGCUUCGGACCGAUCUUAACAAUGGGCCAAGUCAGAUAAAUUUAAUAAUAUUUACGACCGCACUAAUUGAAGUCAACCAUUUACUGCUAAACAAACUUUACGUAGGGGGGCUGCGCCAAUAUGGAAACGCGUCGAUCUGCCCAACGCCGACUGCAGGCAUCAUAUCAUUACAGUCACUGGAAAACAAUUUAAAUUGCGCUCAGUCUAGGUAUUAUAUGUCUAUGCCCUCACAUAGCCAAUGUUCUAGCCUCAAAAUCUUUUACUGCUAAGUUGAGUUUUUAUUACAAGGUUUUCUGAAGCUUAUUCACAUGUGCCUUGAACUUUUUAUCCAUUUUUACAUCGUAGAUUGUGUAUUUUAAUAAAGUUUUUAUCUUCUAAUACACAGAAAAUAAAUAAAUUCUACUGUAGUUUUCUGUUGUACCUAAAACAUAGAAUAAAGACUUUUUAACCAAGUGAGACUGAAUGCCAAACAUUUUAGAAGCUAGUCUACUUAACAAGUGACGUUAUUCCUACACCGAUCAAAUAUGAAUAAUUUUGAAGAGCUUAUUUCCAAAAUGUCUUAAAUCCAUGAAAUGCUGAAACUCGGAAAUCAUAGAUUUUUAUGUAAAAAAAGUAGUCAAGAUGCAACUUUAGGAAGAGGUCUAAUAUUUCACAAAUUAUAUUAUCAAUAUUUAUACACAUAUACAGAAAUCUUGAGUCUUUCGUUAUUCACACAAAAAAUGUACGUCUGAAACACAAAUGCUUGCCGUUUACUCUAAGCAUCAACGAGGAAGCAGUCAUGAUUAGUCACGUGGCUUCUAAUGAGACCUGACCAGUGACCUGACAAAUCCCCACAUGCUCUGCCAUCUUUUUUUAAUAUGACAAGUGACAGAUGACGUUCAACGACUUAUUACUUGCAAUUAAUUUAAGAGAUAUAGAUUAUCUCAGGAUAGGUUUGUAUAAAAUACUCUAAAUAUAAAAGAUCUGACACUGUAUAUUAUUUAUUGUAAUUUAAAGGAAAUCUUUCAGAUAAUUUUUUGCGUAUGGGUUAUUUACGCACUGAAAUUUUUGAAAAAAUACCUGAAAACGCGUUAGUGAAUUGUAUGAUACUCUACUAUUCAUCAAUAGUCGAUGCUAGUAACAAAAUUUUGUUUUGAGUUAUUUUUUGUUGUUUUGAUAAAAUACUUUCCAAAAUAAAAUUUGAACUAAAUUUUCUAUUGACAGUAACGAAAUUCAUAUUACUGUAGCAAUUUCGUCUUCAUGCAACAAUGUUUUGCAACAAUCCGUUAGUUGGAGCAUUAUAUAAAAAAUUGUGCCAAUUUUCGGGGCUUUUCUUGAACUCCAGCUUGACAGCCAAGAAAAAGAGUGACACUACUUUUAUAGCUAACAAAUGCAAGCAAGCAUAAGCGCGGUAUAAUGACAAUGCUAACGAAUUAGUAGGCCCACUCUCGAUUUUGACAGUUCCAAUUUUGCAAUCACUCCUGAGACAAAAUUUUGAAUGCGCGACGAUAACCACCAAUCACGGCAAACGUAGUAUAACUGUCAUUCAUCUGCGCAAAGGAAUAAAAUUCUUAAUGAAUUCAGUGACAUUGUCACCAGAAUGGCACGGUUCUUAGACAUUAACUACGGUUGCCCAGAUCGACUAACCAAUUAACAUUAAUGCAGGGACGUAUUUAUAGUUUUUUAAUGGGGGGGAUCCUAAUUUCCAAAUUAAGUAAAACCGGGGCUUGGUUUUGAAAUACCUUUGAAAAAAAUAAUAAAAACAAAUUUCUAAAAAAUUUAUUAAAACUUAAAAGACCGUUUUACAAAAUUAAAUUCAUUCUCUUCCUUCUUUCAGCUAACUUAUUUACAAUUUCUGAGGAAUUUAGACCUAUUGUCACAUUCCGAUGAAUACUCAUGAGAGCUAAUCCUGUAAGCCUCUCGUCUCCCAUUCUAUUUCUAAAAUAAGUUUUUAACCGUUUAAGUGAUGAAAAAGUACGUUCAGGUGUGGCAGUAGAUACUGGAAGUGUUGCUAAAAUUUUAAGAAGUUUCCUAACCGUUGGAAAAAAAAUUUCAUCACAUCGGUCCAUAGCUUCCAGUGCAGUAGACGGCUGUUCUUGAUUGCACCAGUGGUUGUGCCAAAGCUCAUACUCACUUACUAAAUGUUUUAUUUCAACUUCCCUGAGAAAUAUUUCUCCGAUUCCUGCUAUACAUUUCUUUGCUCUCUCAGUAUUUUGGGUGCGAUCUGGUAGAAGCAACUGAAUUCCUGAAAUUGCUUCUUCGUGAGGUUUAAAGCGAGCAUCAAGCUCGGUCACUACAUGUUCUAUAAAUGGAUAAAAUAUAUUUCGCCGAUAGUAAACUUCAGCAGUGUCCCCUGGUAUAUUAUUGCGGUUUAAUUGUCUCCUACUUACUCUUGGAACAGUUAUAUCUGCUGAAAUUAAUUUUUUUGCUUCCUCAAAAAGAUUUGAGAAUUCACGUUCGUUACGAAGGUUCUGUAAAGUGGUUUUUAUUGUUUUUACGUAACUGCAAGAGUCGGUUAAAUCUACAUUGACUUUUUAUAGGGUUCGGUUUAAGCUUGACGUAUAGGAGAAAACCUUCCUUAAAAUAGUUAGUGAAACUAUAAAUUGACUGUUUUCAAUUGCGACUUGUAACUGGUAAGCUUAGCAAUUUCCCUUCCAGAUUCUUGAAGUUCUUGAAGCACGGAAUUUACUACAGGAAACAUCUCAGCAAAUCUUUCGACGGCUGUAUGUUUUUCUGUCCAGCGUGUCUCGCAAAGCGAGAUAAGCGUUGAAUGAGGUGCUCCAAUCUCGUCCGCAGUUCUUUUUAAAAGUCCAUCCCGGAGUGCAGAUUGCCGAAAGAAGUUAAUAGUUCCGAUGCAGUUUCGUAUUGCAGGGAUCUCGCAUGAAUGACCCAAAACUAAGUUUAAUGUGUGCGCCACACAGUGUACGAAUAGUGCUCGAGGAUAUUUGUCCAUGAUUAUUGUUCUUACUCCUUUAAAUCGUCCGCUCAUCACAGCCGCACCAUCAUAGCCCUGGCCAACUAAAUUCUCCAAAUCUAAUCCAAACGACUUAAGUUUAUCGAUGAUUAUCGUAGCUAGAGCUGAUCCUGUUACUUCAUCAACGUGGAUAAAUUCAAUGAAAUCCUCUCGAAUAAGUGCCUUUCCAGAAGAGCAGUCUACAUACCGAAGGCAAAGUGAGAGUUGUUGGUGACGCGAAAUGUCUCGAGUUUCGUCGGCAAGUACAGCAAAGAAACCUGAUUGUUUCACUCUAUUUAUUAUUUGCUCCUGAAUAGCAUUUCCACACAAAUCAAUAAUUUCAUUUUGAAUGACGGACGAUGUGUACAUAGCCCGAGAAUGAUUGCUUUGAGAAAUAAGGUGAUUUUUAAGUACUUCAUCACCAGCUUGCGCACGAAAACGAAGUAGUGCACGAAAAUUACCGUCAUUAUGUAGAGGAUCUAUAAUACCGAUUUCACCAGAGUCUUGAUUUCCUCUCAAAGGCAAUUCCUGCCGUCCGCAAAAUAAGAUUGUGUCCACUAUGGCACAUAGCCUUUCUCUAUUUUCUCGGGCAAUUUUUUUAUUUUCUUUAUUAAACGACUCUGUAAUAUCACGAGUUUGACCUUCCAUAACGCUUACAAAAUUUCUUGCCCGUUCAACAGCAUAUUUAUGAUAAUUUGUAGUUCGAUGAUGUUCCAUUUUUUCCAGUUAUUAAAUGGUUUUGUGACAAAACUUCCAAGUUUUUGAUCACCGCGACCACCUUCGGUCUGUCCAAAUAAAACGCACAUUUUGCAUAAUGAUCCUUGUAACAUAUUUGAAUAUACUAACCAUGGAUUCUUUUGGGUCCAAUGACGUUGAAAACAAAGUUUCCUUUUACCACAGACGGGGAACUUAAAAGUCUCUGGAGAGGUCAAAGUUUCUUUUAAAACUGUUAAUUUUUCUUCGUCAUUUUUUGGAUUAUUUGAUAAAUAUUUACCAAAAUCGUAGUCCAUACCAGAAUCCAGAUCAGCUAAAAAAAUGCUUUAAAAUGGUGAGAAAUUAAAAAUAAAGUAACUUACCAUGGCUUGUUUCUCUGUUUCUAUCUGAGGUGGAGGGAGUUGGAGCAUCCCCAUCUGUACUAAUAUCCAUACUCGGCGUAGUUAGGAUUUUAUCGUUUUGAGGGUUCAGUUCAUCAUUAGUUUUCCCCUUCUUUGGAAAAAAUCCCAAAAGCGACUGCUGUAAAGUUCGUUUCAUACUUCUUUCACUAAAACAUUAAUAUUAAGCAAUAUCCAAAUAAUAAUUAUUAUAUUAUCUAUUUAUACGUAACGACACUGUAGAUACUUACACAAACACCACAAAAAUUUCGACAAAUACAACAGUUUACUGAAUUUGUACUUGUACAAUAGCAACAAAAUAAAGAAAACAAUACACAAAUCCACAUAUGCACCGGCCGGCCGACAAACAAGACUGGCACUAGACAGCACUAGACUGCGACUCAUAUAUAACCACCGUUCAGUAAUAGAAUAAGUUGGGUCACUCUCGACUUAGCGCCGGUUUACCUGCCCCCGUCGUCUCACGCCCCGUACCUACCAAAUUCUCUCCAGUCAGUCCUCUCAAAAUUUCUAUCGUUCAGGCACCGUUCAGUGUAUUUGCGGAGCGUUCAAUAUAAUUUAUGACUACCGGCAAAAAAUCUUUCGGCGAGAGCCGAGAUCAAAAGAGUGAACCUACUAUUUGGAAUAUGUGUACGGUGAUAUAACUACUGAUAGCGUUCUAAUUCUAAUAGGUAUUAGUUUAUCUGUAUCUACGCUGCUACUGCGGACCGACAGCAUCCGUGCGCUGACUCAUUAAUUUAUUUUUAUUUUUUAUAGAUGUAAUGAUAUUGGAUUAAAAGUAAUAGUUUUGCAUGGACUGCAAGGAGGGGGUUUGAACCCCCUAAACCCCCCGCAUGAAUACGUCCCUGCAUUAAUGUAAUAUACUGUAAUUUGAAUCGUAAUCUGAUUAAUCGGUAUUUUUAUGUCUUUGAUGUAUGAAAAAUAGUCAAGAUAGUUAAGAAAUAAAGAUGUUUAGUGAAUUAUAAUACCUAAUUAUGGAAAACUGUUAAUAUUUAUCCAACGGUUAAUGCAAUAUUUACGGAAAUCUAGGACUUCAAUCUCCAUUCUACACUGAAAAUUUGUCGCUGAAUAUCCAUUAAUACUGCAUUAACUAUUGAAUACAUACCAUCCUUAGAGGCCAGCUAGGAUUAUGUGAAUUAUAAUUACUUGUAUAAUUUAUUGUAAGAAUUUAAAUAAUAGGUAAUAAAUUUGGCCACACUACAGUCUGUACCUAGCAUUCUAAAAUGUCAUGAACAUUAUUAUUACGUUAAUACAUAAUGAAAUUUUAACGUUUUAACCUACCUUAUAAAUAUAUAUUAUUAUUUAAGCUCCUACAAUAGGUACAAUGUGCAACUACAUAUAAUAAAUAACUUCAUGAAUAAUUCAAAAUAAAUUUUUACGCGAAACAACACCAAAAUUACAAAUACAAAAAUAUAAAUUUAACUAGGAUGUAUUAAAAGAUAAUUAAUAACACAAAUAAUACACAUACAUACACAAUAAUACACAUUCAAUGAUCGAAAAUCAUUUAAACAUAUGGGAUGGUGUAUUCUUGUGACGUAAAGUCAAAAAUAUAAAAAUGUAUAAACAUUUUCAAUGUCUUUGCAACACGAAAAUGCAGCAGCUGCAUAAUGCUCUGGUUAAAUCGGAGAGUGCAGGAAGAGUCUAUACCGGUUUCGGAGGUCUUUUCCCCCUCAUCAGUAGUCCCAUAUCCUCUUCUCUCCGAUUUCCCCAGGCAUCACACUUUGGGCCUUUCCGUAUUGCAAAGAAAGAAAUGUCACGGAUGAACUAGAGUUAUCUACCGAAAAACAAAGUAAGUUAUCAAUCGAAGUAGCACAGAAAACGACAAUAAAUAUCGUUCCCGAAAAUUUUAAGUCUUAAUUUCCUCGGUAUCCUGUAUGGUUUAUAAAUUUUGAAAAUCUCAGGAGGUGUAACCAAAGAAAGUAUUCCACCUGUUGUCGAUCUGGUGGUAUGGGAACGAUAUUUAUUGUCGCUUUCUGUGCUACUUCGAUUGAUAACUUACUUUGUUAAAAAUAUAAGUCUCCCCACCACCGUCGGACAAGACAACCGUAGUAAAUGUCUAAUAACCGUGCCAAAAUGGAACAUAUUUUUCGCGGAGUGUCCCUACUGAUUCGUUAGCGUUAUACUGUGGCAUAAGUCUGUCUCACCUGUUACUCCCCGUUAUACCACUAUUUUACUAUCUUUCGACCAAUGAAUGUUGUAGGUAGUAGACUAAGAGCCGCUAUAGGUGAAAUUUCUUAAUCAUUUUAGGCACGAUGGGACCCUAUAACUUAAAUAGUAGAACCUAAAAGAAAACGUUUGAACACUGUGCCGUCACUUUUCAGUGGCACAUGCGUCGACAGUGGCGCAUCAAACUUUCCACUUAUGGACGGGAUAAGUAAAUUAAAAGUUAACAGAACUUACUAACAGAAUUAAAUUUUUUUUAUUUUUUUAAGUUCUAUGUGAUUAACACAUAGGAUUCAUCGUGAUUUUAACCCACCACCCCCUUCCCCUGCCCCCCCCAUCAAAAACUUCAUUUUUCGUUUUUAUUUUUUUUUUGGUGGGAUGCAAUCAAUUUUAAAAUUUCAAAAAAUUCACACGCAUAGUUGAGGCUUUUAUAAAACAUGCCUAUUUUUUAUAGACCCAUAGGUAGAGUGUACGUAACCUCAAAAAAUUAAAAGAAAUUUUUUUUCAAAAAAGCGUAUACCUUUAUUUGAGGAAUAGCUGCCGGUCUAAUUUUUUCUUAAUCUUGUGUGUUUUAUCAAACACUAUAUUUUAAAUUUUUUUCAGAUUUUUCCGUAAGUCUCCCCACCUUCAAAAAUCCGAAAAACUGUUUUUUGGGGGGUUUUGGGGGAUUUUCCCUAUUUUAUAGACUUCAUAAUAUAUCAAAUCAAUUUUGUUUUUAUAGGUUAUAUGUAACUUGAAGUAACUGAGUUCUUUAGAAUAUUUAAAAAUCAGAAAAACACGUUCAAACCCCCCAAAACCCCCUUAAAAAACAGUUUUUUGGAUUUUUGAAGGUGACCAACGUUACAGAAAAUUCUGAAAAAAAUUAGAAAUAUAGUGUUUGAUAAAAUACACAAGACUAAGAAAAAAUUAGAUCUGCAGCUAUCCCCAAAAAAAAGUUAUAUACUUUUUUUUUCAAAAAAAAUUUUUUUAAAUUUUUUUGAGGUUAUGUACACUCAACCUACAGGUCUAUAAAAAAUAGACGUGUUGUAUAAAACCCUUAACUAUGCGUGUAAAUUUUUUGAAAUUUUAAAAUUGAUUGCAUCCCACCAAAAAAAAAUAAAAUCGAAAAAUAAAGUUUUUGAUGGUGGGAGAAGGGGGUGGUGGGUUAAAAUUACGAUGAAUCUUAUGUGUUAAUCACAUAAAACUUAAAAAAUGAAAAAAAUUAAAUUCUGGUAAUUAGGGAGGGUAUUUUUUAAUUUAUGUAUCCCGUCCAUAAGUGGAAAGUUUGAUGCGCCACUGUAGACGCAUGUGCCACUGAAAAGUGACGGCACAGUGUUCAAACGUUUUCUUUUAGGUUCUACUAUUUAAGUUAUAGGGUCCCGUCGUGCCUAAAAUGAUUAAGAAUUUUCACCUAUAGCGGCUCUUAGUCUAUAGAUGAUCAUGUAUUUUUGCAUUGCUCGCUUGUUAGUGUAAUUUUUUGACACUUGUUUCAUUAUUGUUGUCCAGUGCUUAACUAUUCUACAAUUUAAAAAAUAUUUUUAAUCGUCUUCAACUGAAAGCUACUUUACACCGAAAAAUGCUGUGAAAUUAUAUGUAUAUUAUUUAUUGUGAUUUAAAAGCAUGUUAUCAGUUAGGUAAUUUUAUGUGAAAUUGAUAUGUCAAAUAUAAUGGAGCACUUAUUGUUUUGAUAAAAAUUAAAAUGCUUACCUGGAUACUCGAAUGUUUAAGAUGAGUUACGUAAUUUUUUCAGUCAAAUUGUUACAUUGUUUCAAGAACAUAAUAUUAUAUUUUUUCAAGGAAAAGAAAAAUAAAUAGCGGGUAACAAUCA